UAAAAUAAAGCCCUAACUAUGGUUAAAGUAUUUAAUUCCUUCCAUUAUCCAUUCCUAAAUAAUAUCUUUUGUCUCUCUUAGCGCUAGAACUUCCCAUAAUUUCUCCCUCUAUGCGCCAAAUACAGCUGCUCUGCAGGAAACACCGAAAAUCAUGGUAGCGGAGAAAAUCUUUCAGAUUUUUACCAUGAAAAUCCAGUCCUUGAAGUUAAAAAUCAAUAGAGAAAAACAAAACAAGUGAAAAAACAGAGAACAAGAUAGCAAGUCGUGGAACUUCAUUUUUCUGGAAAUAACUGCUCUGAAAUUCUCGCCGGAUUUAUGGAGAUCCCAUCUCAAAAUGAACAUAUGUAUUCUUCAGAAUCGUCUCAGCUAACAUCUCAUGGAAGUCUAUCUCAACUCCUAAGAGAUAUUUCAUUUCAUAAUUUAAACAAGUACUCUUAAAGUUGAUCGCCAAUAUCAUGAAAGAACAAAGGUUGCAUAGCUAUAUAACUUGCAUUGUCACCACAAAAAUGAUUUCAAAACUUCUAUUUAUUCCAAAAAAAUCAGUGACUGUUCCAGCUUUGGAGUGUAGUUUAUAAAUGCUUCCAUAUUGAAAAAUAUGAUUCUCUGUUAUGACAAACAUCAAUA